CUUGCUUCUCUGAUGUUAGCGGCGGACGGGUGNNUAACACGUGGAUAACCUACCUAUAAGACUGGGAUAACUUCGGGAAACCGGAGCUAAUACCGGAUAAUAUUUUGAACCGCAUGGUUCAAAAGUGAAAGACGGUCUUACNGUCACUUAUAGAUGGAUCCGCGCUGCAUUAGCUAGUUGGUAAGGUAACGGCUUACCAAGGCAACGAUGCAUAGCCGACCUGAGAGGGUGAUCGGCCACACUGGAACUGAGACACGGUCCAGACUCCUACGGGAGGCAGCAGUAGGGAAUCUUCCGCAAUGGGCGAAAGCCUGACGGANCAACGCCGCGUGAGUGAUGANNGUCUUCGGAUCGUAAAAAACUCUGUUAUUANGGAANAACAUAUGUGUAAGUAACUGUG
rnacentral:rRNA from 1 species